GCAGCGUCCUGAGCAUGGGAGCUGGCAUCUGGCCUCCCCCAGCCCUGACCCCCUCCCUUUUGGGUCUCGUCCCGACAAAACCUUUUGCCAGAUAAAGCAGCGUUUCAGCAGCGUUAUUGAAAAAUGUUCUCUCCUUCAGCCAAAACGGAGACAAGAAUGCCAAGGCUUUUACACCCGAAGAGGAGCUGACCCAGAGCCAAACGGGUGCAGGGAGUGCUUGGCUUAAGGGCUGGUGGCAGGAGAGACAGAACCUUCAGCAACGUGAAACUGCGCCAGGGAAGGGGCGGGAUCCAUCACAUUCAGCAUCUUUUCAUUACCCAGGGGGACCUUCACAAAAGGGAACAAGAGCUCCACCUCCCUCUGAAGCCCCCUUCUCAGAGAUAAACCAUCAGAUCUCACCACCAUGCAAAAGUACCAAUCAGAACCAAAGCACACAGACUCCAUGAGGUUCACACACAUCUGGAAUCUCCACAUCACUGGACCACGUCUGAGCAGGAGUCAGAGAAGCCAGAUCUGACCCCAACUGAGUCAGAGCAGACCUUACUGCUACCCUGGUGAGUUUCUAUGAUCAUCUCAGUUUUCCUUCCCUUGGAAUAUCAUCCCAUAUUACACUGAAGAAAACCCCUCCUGAAACAGAGAACAAUGUAUGUUUGUUUCAGAGAUACCACGAGAGCCUUAUUUGGACUCUGUAGGCACAGCCUUGGGGCCAAAGAACCCAGGUCAGAGGGUGAGUGACAGGAAUGAGGACAGAGAAGAGAGUAGGUGGCAAUCUGGGGAACCUGGGGAAAGAGUGAACCAGAAAUAGCCCCACAUAGGGAUCAAGCUGAGAUUCCACUGUGGGCCCCCACCCCCCACCCCCGCAUACUCAGAAAACAUGCAAAUGUGUUUUCACCUGCCCUCUCCUGAAAGUUUUGGCAAGCUUAAAUGGAGGGUGAGCUAUUUGAUUUGUGCCAUUGUGAAGAUAGAAUUAUAUGCAUGUAAUUCUGGUUCAAAAAGAUCCUUAGUGAUGCAUGACCCUAAGUCAAAGAGUCCUCCUCCUGAUCUCUGAUCCCCACUGGCUCCCAGUGGUUUGGGUUCAUUGUUCCAAAGAUAAAUGCUUCUCUCUCUCUUUUGGCUUCUUUGAUUAGGGAGUAAUCUGAUAUCAGAGACCAUGCCUUACUCUUCAAAUAAGGAGCACCAGGCAUUCAAUAGACACUUCUUAUUUCAUUAUUACUGAAUCGUG
ensembl:lncRNA